rnacentral:rRNA from 1 species
UAUGAAUGAAUUUUCCAAAAAGAAUUUUUUUUUGUUUCUGAAUUUAUAUUUUUGUUGAAAAUAAUAAAAUUUUCUCUAAGACUAAAAGACCCUAAAAUUUUUAUAAUUUUAAAAUUAUUUGGUUGGGGAAAUAUAAAAAAUUAAAUUUUUUGAGUUUUUAUUUUUUUUUGAACUUUAAAAAUUGAGAUAGAUAGAAAAAUACUCUAGGG